UUUUAUUUCCUAGGGGGAAUAACUUUUCGAGUACACAGCAUGAACCAGCGUACAGCUAUGAUCAUUCUUUGCUGAAUAACUUGGGACAUUAGCUGAGGAGUGGGCACUAUAUUUAAACCUGUGUAUGGGAAUUCUCCCCAUUCUAGGUUACGCUGUAGUGCAAAAGAAUUCCUGGCUCUUUUCUGUUGCACAGCUGAUAUUGCCAUUCUGCUGUUGCUGGAUGGGGUUAAGGAACAUAAUUUUAUUUAGCCUUUAUUAUGAUAGUAAAAAUGGUUGGGAUAUAUGAAAACUUCCACACACUUGAAAGCAAAAUCUCAAGAUAAUUUCAAACAAUUUUAAAUUAUAAAUGUUAAUUUAUAUGAUGGUUCUGUCCCCCUUAUUCUCAAGAGAAAGUACUAAAAAAUCAAUGGAAUGGACUUGAGUUUUCUAGAAAAUUUGCAAAGAAGUGUAUAUGCUAUAUUAUACUGUAUUUUAAAGAGUUAUCUUGUUUCCAGAGAUAUACAGUGAUCUGGAAAAUGGUACAAUCUGAAAUAGAGAUUAUGAUCUUGGUUACAUUUCUCCAUGUCUGUCAUCUUGAAGGAUUUAGAAGCAUAAAUCAAAAAGAUUUUUUUUUUUUUGAGUUUUCAUUUGAAUUGCAGUUGGCUUCAACCUACCUAACAUUUUCAGACUUUUAAAAUACUUUUCUGUGGGAGCAUACAUCACACUUUUAAUCUUGCGUAUACUUGUAUUUUGUGUGAUGUAGUUAUAUUACCUAUAAAAAUAAAAUGUAA